rnacentral:rRNA from 1 species
UACGGAGGAGGCAAGCGUUAUCCGGAAUUAUUGGGCGUAAAGCGUCCGUAGGUGGCACUUCAAGUCUGCGGUCAAAGACCGGGGCUUAACCCUGGAAAGGCCGUGGAAACUGAAGUGCUAGAGUGCAGGUAGGGUAGAGGGAAUUCCCGGUGUAGCGGUGAAAUGCGUAGAGAUCGGAAAGAACACCAACGGCGAAAGCACUCUGCUGGGCCGACACUGACACUGAGAGACGAAAGCUAGGGGAGCGAAUGGG